CAGAUCGCUGUGAUCCCUUCGGGGUGAACUUGAUGCUGACGAGUGGCGGACGGGUGAGUAACGCGUAGGAAUCUACCCAGUAGCGGGGGAUAGCCCGGGGAAACUCGGAUUAAUACCGCAUACGCCCUACGGGGGAAAGCGGGGGACCUUUCGAGGCCUCGCACUAUUGGAGGAGCCUGCGUUGGAUUAGCUAGUUGGUGGGGUAAAAGCCUACCAAGGCGACGAUCCAUAGCUGGUCUGAGAGGACGAUCAGCCACACUGGAACUGAGACACGGUCCAGACUCCUACGGGAGGCAGCAGUAGGGAAUAUUGCACAAUGGGCGAAAGCCUGAUGCAGCCAUGCCGCGUGUGUGAAGAAGGCCUUAGGGUUGUAAAGCACUUUCAGUAGGGAGGAAAAAGCUGGGUUAAUACUCCAGUUAUAUGACGUUACCUACAGAAGAAGCACCGGCUAACUCCGUGCCAGCAGCCGCGGUAAUACGGAGGGUGCGAACGUUAAUCGGAAUUACUGGGCGUAAAGCGCGCGUAGGCGGUUCAUUAAGUGGGAUGUGAAAGCCCCAGGCUCAACCUGGGAACUGCAUUCCAAACUGACGAACUAGAGUACGAGAGAGGGGGGUAGAAUUCAGAGUGUAGCGGUGAAAUGCGUAGAUAUU
rnacentral:rRNA from 1 species